rnacentral:lncRNA from 1 species
UGGGUGAUUACCAGUAAACGGGGAAUUCAAGAAAGCUUGAAAAAUAUCACUAUCCGUACAACCGACUAUAUUUGUACAACCGAGCCCUGUAUAUUACGAAACAAAUUGGUCCCCUCACAGUUUAUAGACUAAGAGGUCCCCUCAGAUUUGAAGUCGAAACGGUCUAGUUGUCACUUUCGGGUAUAAAUACAUGUAAGAAUGAAAUUUAUUAUAUUCAUGAUAUAAAAAAUAACACUAACAUCAUUUUGUAGAGGUUUAAGUCGAACAAUAGGCAUACUGGCAUAGUCGUGAAAAAGAGGAAGAAAACAUUUGGAUUUCGAGUGAAGUGCCUUCUUCUGGAAGGUAGAGUGGUAGUUUUUGGGACUAUCCACACAAAUACGAAAAACUAGUUUCACUAUAUUUAUUCAGAUUUACUGCAGACGAAAAAUUCGUUGUCUCGAGUGAGAUUCGAACUCGCAUCUUUGCGUUUCUAGACCGCCGCCCUACUCAUUGAGUAAACUUGCUACAAGUCGACUCGCAACGUAACUCAUUGUAACUCUUGUCUCGUGUUGUAAGGAGCCAGACGAGUGAGAACGCAACAAUCGAGCCGAUGGGGAUUGGUAGCGAGUUUUUGCUUGUAAUCUCGUACCUAGAGAUUUAAGUGCACAAAAAUCUUCGCAACGGCUUAAUUUUGGAGGACGCGCAAUGUUUCAAUAGCCUCCUCCGCAGGCAUCUCUAUGGGUUUUAGCCUGCGAAUGGGUGUGAGAUGCCUACGGAGUACAGAUGAGGCUAUUUCUGAACCAUCCGCAGAGAUAUGAGCAAAAUAUGCGAGUUCGAAUCUCGCUGACGACAACGACGUUGAUCUCUGCAGUGUCAGAUUAAAUAUGAAACUAGUUAUUCUAUAUAGUUUCGACAAAAAUCACUGCAGUAAUUCUACAGUACACCUACGGCAAAGAUUAUGGCAAUGGUAGUGAUUUACAACAAUGAUAUUGGCCAUUGUCGUCAUAAACACCUCGUUGUGAGAGAUGAAUACAAUCCACAUGAUGUUCACCAAACACAAAGUCUUUGAAAAUCU